GCCCCCGUGGCGGAAUUGGAAGACGCGCUCGUUUGCGACACGAGUGACCGCGAGGUCAUGUGGGUUCGAGUCCCACCGGGGGCA
rnacentral:tRNA from 1 species